rnacentral:rRNA from 1 species
AGAGUUUGAUCCUGGCUCAGAUUGAACGCUGGCAGCAUGCUUUACACAUGCAAGUCGAACGGCAGCACAGGGAGCUUGCUCCCGGGUGGCGAGUGGCGCACGGGUGAGUAAUACAUCGGAACGUGUCCUGUUGUGGGGGAUAACUGCUCGAAAGGGUGGCUAAUACCGCAUGAGACCUGAGGGUGAAAGCGGGGGAGUCGCAAGACCUCGCGCAAUUGGAGCGGCCGAUGCCCGAUUAGCUAGUUGGUGAGGUAAAGGCUCACCAAGGCGACGAUCGGUAGCUGGUCUGAGAGGACGACCAGCCACACUGGGGACUGAGACACGGCCCAGACUCCUACGGGAGCA